ACUUGGAGUAUGGCUUUAUGNNNNNNNNNNAUAUAUCUAGGUGCUCUGGUGUUUGACUGCAUACAUAUUUACAAUUAUACACAUAUUACAAUUAUAUUUCUUGCUGAACUGAACCCUUAUUACAUAAUAAUCUUGUCAAUUUUUAUGGUUUUUAACUUGAACUCUGUUUUGUCUGAUACAAGUAUAGCUAUUCCUUUUUAUUUCCAGAUGUAAAACUCCCUUGGGCAUUUCUUGUAAGGCUGGUCUAGUGGUGAUGAAUUAUCUUGGUUUUUGUUUAUCUGUGACAGAUUCUAUGUCUUCUUCAUUUGUAAAGGAUAGCUGUGCUGGGUAUAAUAUUCUUGGCUGAAAGAUUUUUUUCUUUCAGAACUUCGAAUGUAUCAUCCCAUUCUCUUCUAGCCUAAGGUUUCUGCUGGGAAAUCAGCUGUUAGUCUAAUGGGGAUUCCGUUAUAAGUGUGUUACUUUUCUCUCGCUAUUUUAAAAAAUCUUUGUCUUUGAUUUUUCACAAUUUGACUAUAAUGUCUGGGUUGAAUGUAUUUGGGGUUCUUUGAUCUUCCUGGAACUAGAUGUCUAGCUCUCUCUCAAGAGUUAGGAAGUUUCAUGCUAUUUUAUUAAAUACGUUUUCCUCAUAUUUUCUCUACACUUUUCCUUCUGGAAUGCCCAUAAUAUGAAUAUCUGAUCAAAUUAAUGGUGUCCCAUAAAUCCUGUAGGCUUUUUUCAUUCUUUUUUAUCCUUUUUUGCCUGCCUGUGUUAUUUCAAAAGACUUGUCUUCAAGUUCAGAAAUUAUUUCUUCUGCUUGUUCUUGUCUGUAAAGCCAUUGAUUGUAUUUUUUCAUUUCAUCCAUUGAACUGUUUAGCUUUUAGGGCUUCUGUUUGGUUAUUUUUAUGAUAUCUGUAUCUUUACUGAAUUUCUCUUUCAAAUCAUGUUUUCCUGAUUUCAUUGACUUGUCUAUCUGUAUUACCUUACAUCUCACUGAGUUUCCUUAAGAUUAUUCUUUUUUCUGUCACAUCAUAUGUUUAUGAUUGGGUUCUAUUACUGGAUAAUUAUUAUUUCCCUUUGUAGGUGACAUGUUUUCUU
rnacentral:lncRNA from 1 species